rnacentral:rRNA from 1 species
UAAGGAAUAUUGCUCAAUGGCCGAAAGGCUGAAGCAGCAACGCCGCGUGAAGGAUGAAGGGAUUUUUCUUGUAAAAUUCUGUAAGAGGGGAAAAAUAAAUUGGACUUAUCUGAUUUUGAUUGUUACUUCAGAGUAAGCCCCGGCUAACUACGUGCCAGCAGCCGAGCUAAUACGUAGGGGGCAAGCGUUGUCCGGAUUUACUGGGUGUAAAGGGUGCUCAGGCGGGUUUGUAAGUCAGAGGUGAAACUCCGAAGCUUAACUUCGGAACUGCCUUUGAUACUGCAUCCCGUGAGUUUGAGAGAGGCGAGUGGAAUAUCUGGUGUAGCAGUGAAAUGCGUAGAUAUCAGAUAGAACACCAAUGGCGAAGGCAGCUCGCUGGCUCAAUACUGACGCUAAAGCACGAAAGUGUGGGUAGCAAACA